rnacentral:lncRNA from 1 species
UUUUCUCAUAGUACUAGAUUAAAACUGACGUGGAAAGGUAACACCCGGCCACCGAAAGCUUCAUUUGUAUGAAGCCCAGGUGGUCGUGUGGUCUAGCACCGGUUACAGUGCAGGCGAUUUGGUGUCACGAUAUCUCAGUAGCAUGGGUUCGAAAAAAACACACACAUAUUUUCAAAAAUUUUGCCGCCAUUUUGGAACCGGAAGUCAUUUUUUUCUUCAUUUUUAUGUUGUUUUGUCGUACUUUAGGAACUUUGAUUUACGUUUUACCAAAACUUACAUUGGAGUAUACCUAUUAAACAGCUUUCAAGGAUUUACGAAACGUGGCCAAUUGGUAUGACGCUAUUUGAAAAGGAUCGAUGACCAUCUUGAAAAAAUGGGAAUUUUUUAUGGCCAGCAGAAGAUGUUUUUAAUAAUCAUUUAGUCAACCUUUAUAUCGAUUUGCACAAUUAUUUUCAUGAUAUCUCCCACUAUUGCAAGAGGUAUUAAUAUUAUUUAUAUUUAGCUGGUGGUUCUUAGUAAGGAUACUUUCAUUAUAAGUAAAAUACGGAUAAACAGGACUUUUCUAAAAAAAAAAAAAUUAUUUCUGGAUACCAUCUUAUGAUCAUAAACAAGCUUCUGUCCAAGUUUGAUAGAAAUCCAGGAUAAUUUAAGAAAGUUAUUAAAUUCAACUUUAAAAACAUAGUGAAUAUUUGUGGACGCUGCCACCGCCGACGACGAAAUGUAGGAUCGCUAUGUCUCGGUUUUUCGACAAAAUUCAAAGGCUGGAUAAAAAUCUUUUUUGUAUAUUUUGUUGUGGCUGUUGUUAUGUCAGUUAAAAAGAAGGCUAUUGUAACAAUUAGAAUUAGGAAAAAAGAAGAGGUUAUUAGGUCGAAUAUGGUUCAAACCGGUCGAGUAUUGUUCAGACUGAAAAAAAAUAGGGUCCGGAAGGCACAAUUUAUAAAAGUAAACCAUUAAAGGUCAAAGUACGGUCUUCAUCACGUAGCAUAGGGUCACACUGAAUAGAGAGCUGUACAGGGCCCAAAUAAAAUACUAGUAUAAAACAAUUCAGACUGGAAAACCAACGGUCUAAUCUAUAUAAAAAACGAAAAAAGAGAAACACAUCAAAAAUUAAGACUAUUUCAGACUGGUCUAGUACUAGUUCAGACUGUUGUCAAUGGCAAAGAUAAUGGUCUAGUACAAAUCAGUACAGUCAAGUGUGUGGUUAAGCUUGGUGUCGAGAAAUAGCAAAGUAAAAAUCAAACCGAUUCAAACUGGUCGAGUAAAAACAAUCAGUACAGUCCAGUACAGAUAUAAGCCAUUUCAGACUUUAAUUGGUUUGAAGUAUAGCCUUCUUCGGUUUAGCGUUUUCAAUUUAGAGAGCCUUUGACCAAACUGACAAAUUCUGAAUUUUCAACACCCUAAGUUAUGAAUAAAACUGCAAAAC